rnacentral:rRNA from 1 species
UACGGGGGGGGCAAGCGUUGUUCGGAAUUACUGGGCGGAAAGGGUUCGUAGGUGGCCAACUUAGUCAGACGUGAAAUCCCUCAGCUUAACUGGGGAACUGCGUCUGAUACUGGAUGGCUCGAGUGCAGGAGAGGAACGCGGAAUUCCAGGUGUAGCGGUGAAAUGCGUAGAUAUCUGGAGGAACACCGGUGGCGAAAGCGGCCCGCUGGGCAGAGACUGACGCUGAGGCGCGACAGCGUGGGGAGCAAACAGG